GCCUGCGCGCACGCGUCCUCGGGGCGGGGCGGGCUCCGCAGCUGGGCCGGCGCUCUGUCCCGCGCACCUGGCGCUCCCGGAACGUGCUGCGCGUCCUCGUAGAGGCAGUAACCGUGGUCUUCAAGAAAAUAUUCUCCCCCUGAGCGCUGAGAACAUCCAGCACCAAGAGGAGAGGAGAUGCCAAAGCGGGACUGAAAGAACUAAAGGCUCAGAUGGAGGAAUCUCUUCUGGGCCCUCCAACCUUCUGCAUAUUGCGUUAUCCAGUUGAAGAAAAUAUAUCAUUCUGUCAAUGCAGAUCAUACCAGGAAGCACAAACUGUGCUAAGUGAGCAGUUGGGGUAUCUCCAUCUGCACAGCACUAGGAGGUGUGGGACACUAUUCCAUCCACGUGACCCACAGGGGAAGCCCAGGAGGUGGGCCCUGGUCCCAACCAGACAAGUGGUGGCACCAGGACUGGAGGAGGCCCUGUGUGACAAGCAUGGUGCUGGCAACCAUAGCUCUGACCUAUUGUCCCUGGACCAACAGCGGGUAUCUCUGAGGAGCUUGGAAUCCAGUGCAUUCUAGAGCCAUGGACUGAGAUGCCAAGCUUUAUUGGGGGGUAGGGGGUGGGGGGACUCAGAAUUGUCCUAAUUCUUGGGACCUUCUAAGAAGGAAGUGUGUUUGAUAACCAUGGCAGAGAAGAGGAUUCCCAGUUACCCCAGGCAUUUUGUGGGUUCAUAGGCAAGAGCUCCUCAAGGGCUGGGUGGCCAGAGCAUUCCAAGGAUGUCAGAGGCCUGUAGACAGGAAAUGCCCA
rnacentral:lncRNA from 1 species